GAUCGUUGUAGCCGAAAAUUUGCCGAUAAUCAUGGCCGCAGAUCAACCAAUCGUCAUAGAAGACGAUUCAUUAUCGCAUCGUGCUGAUGGAAAUCUGCCGAUUAUCAAUGAUGGUAACUCCCGACAAACUUUGUCAAGUGAUUUUAAUGAAGAUUUGAACCAAAGACGACGACAACGAGACGAGACGCUACAAACCUCCGCGGCUUUAUCUGAAGCCUCAGCCUCAAAUAAUCGAAAGCGAAAUAAAAG